rnacentral:rRNA from 1 species
GACAGAGGGUGCAAACGUUGUUCGGAAUUACUGGGCGUAAAGCGUGUGUAGGCGGCUACGCAAGUCGGAUGUGAAAGCCCCGGGCUCAACCCGGGAAGUGCACCCGAAACUGCGUGGCUCGAGUACCGGAGAGGUUGGUGGAAUUCUCGGUGUAGAGGUGAAAUUCGUAGAUAUCGAGAGGAACACCGGUGGCGAAGGCGGCCAACUGGACGAGUACUGACGCUGAGGCACGAAAGCGUGGGGAGCAAACAGG